rnacentral:rRNA from 1 species
UACGAAGGGGGCGAGCAUUGUUCGGAAUUACUGGGCGUAAAGGGUGCGUAGGCGGAUCGAUCAGUCAGAUGUGAAAGCCCAAGGCUCAACCUUGGAAUUGCAUUUGAUACUGUCAGUCUGGAGUAUUGGAGAGGAGCGUGGAAUUCUCAGUGUAGAGGUGAAAUUCGUAGAUAUUGAGAGGAACACCAGUGGCGUAGGCGACGCUCUGGCAAAAUACUGACGCUGAGGCACGAAAGUGUGGGGAGCAAACAGG